GGGGCAUUUUACAGUGGGCGCAGCCUGAUGCAGCCAUGCCGCGUGUGUGAAGAAGGCCUUCGGGUUGUAAAGCACUUUCAGCGGGGAGGAAGGCAUGCGGUUUAUAACCGUGUUGAUUGACGUUACCCGCACAAGAAGCACCGGCUAACUCCGUGCCAGCAGCCGCGGUAAUACAGCAGCCG
rnacentral:rRNA from 1 species